UAGCUCAGUUGGUAGAGCACUCGUCUAGUUAACGAGAUAACUCUAGUUCGAUUCUGGC
rnacentral:tRNA from 1 species